UGCCCACGGGACGCAGCAGUGAGGAAUAUUGGUCAAUGGGCGCGAGCCUGAACCAGCCAAGUCGCGUGAGGGAUGACGGCCCUACGGGUUGUAAACCUCUUUUGUCGGGGAGCAAAUUCCGCCACGUGUGGCGGAGUCGAGAGUACCCGAAGAAAAAGCAUCGGCUAACUCCGUGCCAGCAGCCGCGGUAAUACGGAGGAUGCGAGCGUUAUCCGGAUUUAUUGGGUUUAAAGGGUGCGUAGGCGGAAGGUUAAGUCAGCGGUCAAAUGUCGGUGCUCAACACCGGCCUGCCGUUGAAACUGGUC
rnacentral:rRNA from 1 species